rnacentral:tRNA from 18 species
GCCCAGAUGGUGGAAUCGGUAGACACAAGGGAUUUAAAAUCCCUCGGCGUUCGCGCUGUGCGGGUUCAAGUCCCGCUCUGGGCACCA